CUGCUUUCUCAUCAGACGGUGCUCGACCACAGAAUAUACACUUUAAACUUUUAUACUGUGCUCGACGGUCAUCAAUAUAGAUCAGAUUUUAAACCGAUCAGGCAACUGAGCUGGUGGUUCGACUGAUGAUGAGCGAUCAUGAUUGCCCAUGGACAUUUGCAGAGGUAGUGCCCCGGAGAAUACACUGCUCGCUUUUAAGGGCACUAUGAAGUGUAGCCGCAAACAAAGUCAUGUGAAACUAGAAGAAUUGACACAAGGCAUCUUCCUCUGCAGAGUUUGACACCAGAACAGUUCAACAACAACAGAACAACCUUCCGUUGCAGUGUAUGGGUCCCGCAGCGAAAUGGCAAAAAUCGGAACCCUUGUAGAUUCGUCAUGCCUGUCUGUGCGUCUGUGCGUCUGCCUGCAUGUGUACAGCAUGUCACAGCCGCUUGAUUCAGUAACUCCUAAGUCUAUGGAGUUGAAACU